CGCCUGUUUAUCAAAAACAUAGCCUCCUGAACUUAAAGGAGGUCCCGCCUGCCCAGUGUAUCUUUAUAAACGGCCGCGCAAGUGCUAAGGUAGCGUAAUAAUUUGUCUUUUAAUUGAAGGCUAGUAUGAAAGGCAUAACGAGGCUCAACUGUCUCCAGAUGUAAAAAGAAAAUUUGAUUAAAAAAUGAAAAAUAUUUUAUAACUAUGAAGGACGAGAAGACCCUAUAGAGUUUCAGUAGAAAUUUCUACUUUUGUUGGGGCAACGACGAAAGAAAAACCUUCAUAAUCUAUGAUAAGACCUCAAAGAGUUUAAAAGUAAACUACCUUAGGGAUAACAGCGUAAUCUUACCAGAGAGAACACAUUAAAGGUAAGGAUUGCGACCUCGAUGUUGGACUAAGGCAAGAUUUAUGUGCAGAAGCAUAAAAAACUAAGCCUGUUCGGCUUACAUAACCUUACAUGAUCUGAGUUCAGUUCAGACCGGAAU
rnacentral:rRNA from 1 species